CUUUCAGAGUCUUUCAGACAUUUCUUUCUUAAUCUCUUCCCAUAAAAUUUUUAUGUCCCAGACAUACCAUAGACACGUGAGUCUGGCAGCCAUUUGAAGGCGCACAGACAGCUGUCCCCGCCAAGGGCUUGGGGCCCGCCAAGGAGCUGCGUUCACCUCCUGAUGGGGACAUCGCGCUGCUGAGAACACAUUUCCGGGAAUUCCAUGACUCUCCCGCCCUGUUUUUAAGAAGAGAUGCCUGGAGAAGGAGCGGAACAGAAGGCUGAGGUGCCUGAGCUCCAGCACCACGAGGAGGGGCUUGGCCUUCUGCAGGAGGAAGCAGGUCCCACUUGGCUGCUUCCCCCAGAGGACGCCAGACGCCAGCCGGCCCGGCGAAGCCUACCUUCGGUGCAUGCCUCUCAAGUAGGCAUUUGGCACCAGCGAGCGCCAGUGGGCCAGAUGCCAGUCCGGCAGAUGGCUGUAGCGACAAGCAUAUGUCCGGUAACAGGAAGAUGAGCGGAUCUCACACGACUGUUGUAAGAGCAGGCUUUCCUUCCUUCGUGGAUUGGCGAAAACCCAGCGAUCAGGGCCGCCCCUCCUGGCCCUCGGUCAGAAGAAAGAGCAUGGACCGAACCCUCGAAGGCCAGCGCAGGGGGGACCCUGCCCCCCAGAGGCCCUGCCUUCAGCAGCAGCCUCGCUCUCUUUUCUACUGGUGGUCACACCGGUCAGUGGGAAGGUGACCCGCAGCGCUUGCUGGGGGACGAAGGAGCGGAUGAAACCCCAACCCCCUGUGUUAUCCCUAGUGACCUCAAGGCCUGACAGUUUGUAACUUUUUUUUUUUUUUUUUACGAGAAAUAGAAGAGGCCGUGCUG